GUGCCUGUAGCUCAGUUGGAUAGAGCGUUUCCCUCCGAAGGAAAAGGUCGUGCGUUCGAAUCGCAUCAGGCACA
rnacentral:tRNA from 1 species